UAUGGUUGCAAAGCUGAAACUUAAAGGAAUUGACGGAAGGGCACCACCAGAAAUGGAGCCUGCGGCUUAAUUUGACUCAACGCGGGUAAACUCACCCGGCCCGGACACAGGAAGGAUUGACAGAUUAAGAGCUCUUUCUUGAUUCUGUGGGUGGUGGUGCAUGGCCGUUCUUAGUUGGUGGGGCGACUUGUCUGGUUAAUUCCGAUAACGAACGAGACUCUAGCCUACUAAAUAGACGCUCCGAUCCUUCGAGUCGGACGUUCUUCUUAGAGGGACAAGCGGCGCUUAGCCGCACGAAACAGAGCAAUAACAGGUCUGGGAUGCCCUUAGAUGUCCGGGGCCGCACGCGCGCUACAUUGAAGGAAUCAGCGUGUGCUUUCCCUAUCCGACAGGAUUGGGUAACCCGCUGAACCUCCUUCGUGCUGGGGAUAGGAGCUUGUAAUUGUUCUCCUUGAACGAGGAAUUCCCAGUAAGCACGAGUCAUAAUCUCGUGUUGAUUACGUCCCUGCCCUUUGUCCACACCGCCCGUCGCUACUACUGAUUGAAUGAUUUAGUGAGGUCUUCGGACUGGCGCUCGGAUUGUGCCUUCGGGUCGAGCCGAAGUCCCGGAAAGAUGA
rnacentral:rRNA from 1 species